UGGGGAAUAUUGCACAAUGGAGGGAACUCUGAUGCAGCGACGCCGCGUGAACGAAGAAGGCUUUCGAGUCGUAAAGUUCUUUUAUAUGGGAAGAUAAUGACGGUACCAUAAGAAAAAGCCCCGGCUAACUACGUGCCAGCAGCCGCGGUAAUACGUAGGGGGCUAGCGUUGUCCGGAAUCACUGGGCGUAAAGGGUUCGCAGGCGGAAAUGCAAGUCAGGUGUAAAAGGCAGUAGCUUAACUACUGUAAGCAUUUGAAACUGCAUAUCUUGGGAAAAGUAGAGGUAAGUGGAAUUUUCAGUGGAGCGGUGAAAUGCGUAGAUAUUAAGAAGGAUACCGGUGGCGAAGGCGACUUACUGGGCUCAUUCUGACGCUGAGGAACGAAAGCGUGGGUAGCAAACAGG
rnacentral:rRNA from 1 species